UUUGUUUUUUGGUAAAUUAAUUGUCAUGAUUCUAUUGGCUGGGCUUAUUAGUGUAGUGGUACGCCUGGCCUAGUAAAUAUUUUCUCUUUGUAUAGAUCCUUGUUCAUAGAAGCAGGAGGACGGUGCCAGGAAAGGGCUGUGCCUCUGUCUUUUACCAUUUCGUUUCUAUAAAUAACUUCCCAAUUCCCACUAUCACUACCACUUUCACUCAUCACAUCGACUUGCGGCAGGAAAGCAAGUCAGUGAAACGAUAGCAAGCCAGUUCCCUCCUUGCGGCAUCAAAGGACUCCCCACUUUGCUUCCAAAGUCGACUUUUAAUCGGGCCAUGAGUUCGAUCUCAUCAGGCUACAACUUUAGAACAGAGAUGAAUCGGGGCUGGCCGUAAGGAGAAAAACCAGUAAAACCAUUGUACUUGUCCAUAUGGUACGAUGGUCAACUGACAUCGCGGCACAUGUGACACGUCCCUCUUAAUUAAGAAUAAAAAAGGGCAAAAAAAAAAGUAUAUGGAGUGAAAAGGGAAUAGAAAAGAUGGUAGUGCUUCUUUUUAUUUUUUUAAUUAAAAAAUUACAAGAGACCACAUGUCAAAAUGUUGGACUUCGUACCAUGUAUUGUGGCCUAUUAAAGUUUUUCGCUUUUCUGACGGCAUUUCCAAUUUGUGAAUUGCCACAAAUUUUUUAGGACAUAAUGUUAGAUGGUUAUUUAAAAAUAUUUUUCAAUGAAAUUGUCCAAAAUUUGUGUGAAGCUGAUAUGAUUGAAAAAACAAA